rnacentral:tRNA from 1 species
AGUAUUAUGUCUGAAAAAGAAAUAAACUGUAAAUUUAUUAAUAAAGAUAAAAUUCUUUUAAUACUA